rnacentral:lncRNA from 1 species
UAUUUGCAAAUGUCCAUUUAGUAAUAGUAGAGGUACCAAAACAAGAAUAAUGAGAGAAAGCUUCCAGUUUGCGUCAAAGGCAAUUACCAAGGCUGUAAUUGCAGUAGCAAAAUCUUGAACCAGCAAACCAAGAGCAUCCCCAACCAAGGUUCGAAUAGAAGCCGCAUCAGUUGAGAGCCUUGCUCCAAGUGCUCCACUUGAAUUCUCAGCUUUAUCAAACCAGCCUAUUUCCAUGUGAAUUAUUUUCUCAAAACACAUAAGCCGGAUCCUUUUUAUCAACUUAGAACCAGCUACAGAAAAAAGGUAGGACCUUAAUGGAAGAAAUAUGAAGGCAGCCACACUAAGGACAACAAAUAUUUAUGCCCAAAUUGCAGUAGCAAAAUCUUGAACCAGCAAACCAAGAGCAUCCCCAACCAAGGUUCGAAUAGAAGCCGCAUCAGUUGAGAGCCUUGCUCCAAGUGCUCCACUUGAAUUCUCAGCUUUAUCAAACCAGCCUAUUUCCAUGUGAAUUAUUUUCUCAAAACACAUAAGCCGGAUCCUUUUUAUCAACUUAGAACCAGCUACAGAAAAAAGGUAGG